UGUUGUUUUUAUGGGCGUUCGGUGGAUGCCUUGGCACCAGGGGCCGAUGAAGGACGUGGUGGACUGCGAUAAGCCUCGGGGAGCCGUCUGGCGGGCCUUGAUCCGAGGGUUUCCGAAUGGGGGGACCCGGCGCCCGUCGUGGGGCGUCACCCGCGUCUGAAUGUAUAGGGCGUGUGGGGGUUACGCGGGGAAGUGAAACAUCUCAGUACCCGUAGGAGAGGAUAUUCCGUGAGUAGUGGCGAGCGGAAGCGGAUGAUGGCUGAAACCGUCGUGGUGCUGGUUACCCGGCAGGGUCUGCCGCGGCGGGGUUGUGGGGUCGUGCCGUCCUGUUCCUGCCGGGGCGGGGGCGUGGUGAGAAACCGUGGUGGUAGCCGAACCCCCUGGGACGGGGGGCCGUGGAGGGUGAGAGCCCCGUAGGCGGAACUGCCUCGGCCGCGCUGGUACGGUGCCCGAGUAGCACGGGGCACGUGGAAUCCUGUGUGAAUCUGCUGGGACCACCUGGCUGCCUGAAUACCUCCUGGUGACCGAUAGCGGAGUAGUACCGUGAGGGAACGGUGAAAAGUACCCCGGGAGGGGAGUGAAAGAGUACCUGAAACCGGGCGCCUACGAGCCGUCAGGGCCCUUGCGCCCCCUCUUGUGGGGGGUGGGGGGUGGUGGCGUGCCUAUUGAAGAAUGAGCCUGCGAGUCAGUGGCGUGUCGCGAGGUUAACCCGUGUGGGGUAGCCGUAGCGAGGGCGAGUCCGAAUGAGGGCGUCUAGUGGCGCGUCCUGGACCCGAAGCGGGGUGAUCUACCCAUGGCCAGGCUGAGGCACGUGUAAGAGCGUGUGGAGGGCCGGACCCGCCUGGGUUGAAAACCGGGGGGAUGAGCUGUGGGUAGGGGUGAAAGGCCAAUCAGACUCCGUGAUAGCUGGUUCUCCCCGAAAUGCAUUUGGGUGCAGCGUCGCGUGGUCCCCGGCGGAGGUAGAGCUACUGGUUGGCUGAUGGGCCUCACAGGGUUACUGGGGUCAGCCAAACUCCGAAUGCCGUCGGGUGUGAGCGCGGCAGUGAGACCGCGGGGGAUAAGCUCCGUGGUCGAGAGGGGAACAGCCCGGACCGCCGGCUAAGGCCCCUAAGCGCGCGCUAAGUGGGAAAGGAUGUGCGGCCGCGGUGACAACCAGGAGGUUGGCUUAGAAGCAGCCACCCUUGAAAGAGUGCGUAACAGCUCACUGGUCAAGUGGUCGUGCGCCGACAAUGUAGCGGGGCUCAAGCGCGCCGCCGAAGCCGCGGACCCCUGGCCCCUAUCUGGGGCCUGGGGUGGUAGGGGAGCGUCCUGUGCUGGGUGAAGCCGGUGGGGUGACCCCUGGUGGACGGUGCGGGAGUGAGGAUGCAGGCAUGAGUAGCGAGACCGGGGUGGGAGUCCCCGGCGCCGUGUGACCAAGGGUUCCAGGGGAAGGUUCGUCCGCCCUGGGUGAGUCGGGGCCUAAGGCGAGGCCGACAGGCGUAGUCGAUGGGUGACGGGUUGAUAUUCCCGUACCGGUGGGGCACCGCCCGUGCUGACUGGUGGGUGCUAACCCACGCCGGGUGCCGCCUUCUUCUCCUGCCGCGGGCUUCGGCCCGGGUGGGGGUGGUGGUGCGUGGUCUGGGGGUCCUCCGCCUUGGUAGGCAAGCGUGUUAACAGGGGUGACGCACAGUGGUAGCCUCCGCGGGCCUGAUGGCUUGGCCCGUCCAACCGUGUGGCCCGUCCCCUAGGUAAAUCCGGGGGGCUGUCUUUGGUGACGAGGGUGAGGCGGGACGGUGACCUGCCCUUCUGGGGUGGGGAAGCAGGGUGAUCCUGUGGUGCCUAGAAAAGCCUCGACGCGAUGGUGUGAGCCGCCCGUACCCUAUACCGACACAGGUGGUCCGGCAGAGUAUGCCGAGGCGGGCGGGUGAACCGUGGUGAAGGAACUCGGCAAGAUGCCCCCGUAACUUUGGGAGAAGGGGGGCCCUGUCCCCUGAGGCCCCGUCGCGGGCUGGGGGGGCGGGCCGCAGAGACCAGGGGGGAGCGACUGUUUACUAAAAACACAGGUCCGUGCGAAGCCGUAAGGCGAUGUAUACGGACUGACGCCUGCCCGGUGCUGGAAGGUCAAGAGGACCCGUCAGCCCCCCUUGCGGGGGUGAAGCGGUGAAUUCAAGCCCCAGUGAACGGCGGUGGUAACUAUAACCAUCCUAAGGUAGCGAAAUUCCUUGUCGGGUAAG
rnacentral:rRNA from 1 species